AAGGACUGGAACUGCAUACAAGUGAGAAUGCCGGUAUGAGUAACGAAAAGAUCAGUGAGAAUCUGAUCCGCCGAAAGCCCAAGGUUUCCUGAGGAAGGUUCGUCCGCUCAGGGUAAGUCGGGACCUAAGGCGAGGCCGAAAGGCGUAGUCGAAGGACAACAGGUUGAAAUUCCUGUACCACCGUAAUCCGCUAUGAGCGAUGGGGUGACGCAGUAGGGUAGUGACGCGAGCUGAUGGAUGCUCGUCCAAGCAGUGAGGCUGAUGUGUAGGCAAAUCCGCACAUCGUUAAGGCUGGGCUGUGAUGGGGAGGGAAAAUUUACAGUACCGAAGGUCAUGAUCUCACACUGCCAAGAAAAGCCUCUAGCCAGGAGAAGGUGCCCGUACCGCAAACCGACACAGGUAGGCGAGAAGAGAAUUCUAAGGCGCGCGGAAGAACUCUCGUUAAGGAACUCGGCAAAAUGACCCCGUAACUUUGGGAGAAGGGGUGCCCCGGUAGUGUGAAUAGCACGAGGGGGCCGCAGUGAAAAGGCCCAAGCGACUGUUUAGCAAAAACACAGGUCUGUGCGAAGCCGUAAGGCGAAGUAUACGGGCUGACGCCUGCCCGGUGCUGGAAGGUUAAGGGGAGCGGUUAGGGGUAACCCGAAGCUGUGAACCGAAGCCCCAGUAAACGGCGGCCGUAACUAUAACGGUCCUAAGGUAGCGAAAUUCCUUGUCAGGUAAAUUCUGACCCGCACGAAUGGCGUAACGACUUGGGCGCUGUCUCAACGAGAGAUCCGGUGAAAUUUUAAUACCUGUGAAGAUGCAGGUUACCCGCGACAAGACGGAAAGACCCCAUGGAGCUUUACUACAGCUUGAUAUUGAACUUUGAUGCGAUUUGUACAGGAUAGGUGGGAGCCUAGGAAUCCGGAGCGCCAGCUUCGGUGGAGGCGCCGUUGGGAUACCACCCUGAUCGUAUCGAAGUUCUAACCUGGGACCGUGAUCCGGUUCGGGGACAGUGUCAGGCGGGUAGUUUGACUGGGGCGGUCGCCUCCUAAAGAGUAACGGAGGCGCCCCAAGGUUCCCUCAGAAUGGUUGGAAAUCAUUCGCAGAGUGCAAAGGCAAAAGGGAGCUUGACUGCGAGACUGACAAGUCGAGCAGGGACGAAAGUCGGGCUUAGUGAUCCGGUGGUACCGCAUGGAAGGGCCAUCGCUCAACGGAUAAAAGCUACCCUGGGGAUAACAGGCUUAUCUCCCCCAAGAGUCCACAUCGACGGGGAGGUUUGGCACCUCGAUGUCGGCUCAUCGCAUCCUGGGGCUGAAGUAGGUCCCAAGGGUUGGGCUGUUCGCCCAUUAAAGCGGUACGCGAGCUGGGUUCAGAACGUCGUGAGACAGUUCGGUCCCUAUCUGUCGUGGGCGUAGGAAAUUUGAGAGGAGCUGUCCUUAGUACGAGAGGACCGGGAUGGACGCACCGCUGGUGUACCAGUUGUUCCGCCAGGAGCAUAGCUGGGUAGCUACGUGCGGAUGGGAUAAACGCUGAAAGCAUCUAAGCGUGAAGCCCUCCUCAAGAUGAGAUUUCCCAAUUAGUAAGACCCCUUGAAGACGACGAGGUUGAUAGGCCUGAGGUGGAAGUGCAGCAAUGUAUGGAGCUGACAGGUACUAAUCGGUCGAGGGCUUAUCCAA
rnacentral:rRNA from 1 species